GAAAUGCGAUAAGUAAUGUGAAUUGCAGAAUUCCGUGAAUCAUCGAAUCUUUGAACGCACAUUGCGCCCUCUGGUAUUCCGGGGGGCAUGCCUGUCCGAGCGUCAUUGCGAACCCCUCAAGCACGGCUUGUGUGAUGGGCCCUCCCGCGUCUUGGUCGUCAAGACGGGCCCGAAAUGCAGUGGCGGCUUCGCGGUUAUCCGAUCAACCAGAGCGUAUGGGGACUUUCUCUCUGUCACACGCCCGCGGCGCGGACCGACCCCUGUCGACCUUUAUUCAUCUUUUUCUCGGUUGACCUCGGAUCAGGUAGGGAUACCCGCUGAACUUAAGC
rnacentral:misc_RNA from 1 species